rnacentral:rRNA from 1 species
CCUACGGGUGGCAGCAGUGGGGGAUAUUGCACAAUGGGGGAAACCCUGAUGCAGCGACGCCGCGUGGGUGAAGGAGGCUUUCGGGGCGUAAAACUCUAUCCUCAGGGAAGAUAAUGACGGUACCUGACCAAGAAGCCCCGGCUAACUACGUGCCAGCAGCCGCGGUAAUACGUAGGGGGCACGCGUUAUCCGGAUUUACUGGGUGUAAAGGGGGCGUAGGCGGCAUUACAAGGCAGGAGUGAAAGGCCGAGGCCUAACCCCGGGACUGCUUUUGAAACUGGAAGGCUGGAGUGCAGGAGGGGAGAGCGGAAUUCCUAGUGUAGCGGUGAAAUGCGUAGAUAUUAGGAGGAACACCGGUGGCGAAGGCGGCCUACUGGACUGUAACUGACGUUGAGGCACGAAAGCGUGGGGAGCAAACAGGAUUAGAUACCCCUGUAGUC